CAGGCUAGGGAGAGGAAUGCUGCGUCGGUGGGGGUCUUAGCCACGAAUCCCUGCCCCACCUCUGGGCCCAGUCCCGCCGCACCUUCUGGGCAAAGAUGCUACUCAAACAACGCUCCUCAUCUGCCAGGAAGGCGUCCAGCCGCUCCGCGCCGGCGCGCAGCUCCAGUUGCAACGGCACCGAGUGCAGGCCCGAAGAGCCCUGUACACCUCCACCUUCUGCUGGGGAUGAGCGUAAGCGUCUGACAGGACCACCUUGUCCAGCGAGGACUCCACAAACAGUUCAAAGUUGGGCAGAUUCAAGACAGACCAAGCAACCUGCAACUUUGGCUGGACCAACAGGAAAGAGGCACUAGUUUCUCUUCCCUUGGGGCUGAGCUGAAGGAAGGGGAGGUCUCCCUCCUUUGUCACUGCUUGGGAAGAGCCUGAAUGAGAAUGAAACUGGCACAAAGGAAACAGAGCCCAGAGAUGAGGACGUGCACUCCCAACCACACACUGUGCCCCUGGCUCCAGCUGCACCCUGGACUUCUCAGUUAUGUGAGCGAAAUCAUUUCUUUUUGGUCCAAAGUACUUGGAGCUGGGCUCUGUCUUAUGCAACUGAAAUUGUUCUAUUACAGAUUCCUUCCCUGUUCAGAGAGAGCCAGGGCCCCGCGGGUUCUGGCAUAUCCUCCCUCUACUGACAAAAUCCUAGCCCUAGACCAGGGGCAAAAUUCCCUGUGCACCAGGGAACCACACUGCACUGACCUUCAGUUCAGUGGCCUCUUAGUCACAGUGCCAAGAGGCCUGCUCCUUCCUCCUCACCUCACCUGAGGCAACAUCCCACCCUUAUCUACCCUAUAAACAUGGGCUCAAGACCCCACCUCCUGCCCCAUCAGCCUUCUUUACUCUCUGGUCUUUGGCAUUUACAUAUGGUGGGUAGGAGCGUGCUGAGCCCCAGUGUGAGCACCCUGGACUGAUUCAUUGCUCUGGACAGUACAGAUGGGGUGGUCUCAGCUGGCAUCUAUGUACAUGAGGGACAGGGAACCUCGGAGGAGGGAUGCCAGAAGGAGCCAGGACCAUAGACUUGGAUAGUGUUGGGGCUGCUGUUUCAGAUCUGCCCCAGACCUUAACCUGAGAGCCAAAGCCUGGACAGUAACUGGGCAGGGGCCAUGCAGCAUCGCCCAGACCUGGCAAGAAAAAUACCUGGUGAUGGUCCUAUCCUGAGUCUGAGCCCAGGGAUAUGGCUUUUGAGCCCCCCACCCCCACACCAAUAACCUUUUGGUAGAAAACAUAGUAAUACUUGUGUGUUUACCCAAAACAAUGCUCUAUGGGAAUGGAGGAGAUUGGGGGGGGGGGGUCAAUUGUCAUUGUAUUUAGCAAUAUUCUAUUUUAUGUAAUAUACAUGUCCUUUGUAUUAAAAAAGCAAAAUUAAUUUGUUUUCCUUAAAAAGCAAAAAAAUAAAAACAAAACAAAAACGGGGUGAAUCUCUGUAGGUGCAAGUGAGGCCAAGUAGGGAGAGAAGGGGGGAGCCCUGGGGAAGAGACCCAGGGGGGUAGAAGAGUGUGAAAACCUACCCUGGAA